GGACGUCCGCGGUCAUAUCAGAGCUGUCGGGCGGCAGCCGGAAACUACAAGCAGCAAUGUGGGCUUUGACUGCGAGCAGGAAGUACCUCUGGGACUCAGCCACUCCAGUGCGGAGGGAGAAGAUUCAAUGUAUUCCGCUGUGAAGCAGAAAGAGCGUAUUGUGACUGAAGACGGAUCUAAACAAUGGCUUCCUGCUUUCAUGGUCCUUCCUUUCCUGAAUGAACAGAAUAGAGCAAGGAGGCUGGAACCUCUGAAGACUUGCGUUCGUCCAAUAAGAGUUGGCCUCUCCAAGAGGGAAAGACCCAAACAGCUUCACCCCUACUUCAAGUGAGCCUCACAUAACCCUUUCAGAAAUAUAUUUUCAGUAUACUGCAAUAUAUUGUAAAUGUAUAAAUGUAUACAAUGUGUUGUAGCACAUUUUUGAUGAAAAUGUUUUGCAAUGUCUGAAAGUGGCAAUAAUUUGUAUAUUUGCAAAGCAUUGCAAUAUAUUGACAGUAUAUUUUAUUUCAAUAUAAUUGCAAUAUAUUCGAUGUGUGCAAGGGAACGUAUUAGUAGUUACAGUUUAAUUUGAGUUACAGCUGCAGGCAACUUCAAAAUGGCAGGUUGUAAAAAUCCACAGUAUGUACUAGCAUGUUUACUGCCAUGAUUGUGAUGUCGCUGCAGCUGCGCUUGUUUAACAUUCAUUUUGACAACGUGAAACAGGCACUCGCAAUUGAAAAAUUCUCUGGCAUAUAUGCUUGGGGUCAUAGACAGAUGAGGCAAUUUAUUUGAUGGUUCCUGCAUGGAAAUUCAGGUUUUCCAGCUACAGAAGUUGUGUGUCAUUCUUCGGUAGGAUUGUCGUUUGCUCCAUUAGGUAGCAGUUAACAAAUUGCCUUAAAAGCGGCGGGAUUGUGUUGUGUUCGACGUUUCCUUCAUGCUUGCGUGCUUGUGUAAAGGAUGUUUGUUUUUAAAGGUAGUAGUCCUUUCAAGUACCUCUAUUUAUUAUUUAUUAUUAUUUAUUAUUUUUUUCCCACGUUUCCAGCUGUUAAAGUGACACACGCUGAAUAUUUAAAACGUGUUUGACCUCUCUGCUGUGUUUACUGUAGGAGAAUACUAACUAAGGCAGCUGUUGAACGCAGAAAUUCCUGUUAAAUUAUUUUAAAUCUUUCAAGUGUCUUGCCAGCAGUCCUGAAAUCACACAAUAUAAUAUUCACUGUGCAUUUUAAAAAGAAAUAGGCUAAUUCUUUUUUUUUUACAAUAUUGUUAUUAUAUUGUUUCUAAUUUGUGAUGUUGACAUGAUGUAUAAUAUAGUUUUCUUAAAUGAACUAAACUGCAAAAGAACGGUAAAGGUA